UACGAAGGGGGCUAGCGUUGCUCGGAAUCACUGGGCGUAAAGCGCACGUAGGCGGAUUGUUAAGUCAGGGGUGAAAUCCUGGAGCUCAACUCCAGAACUGCCUUUGAUACUGAGAUCUUGAGUUCGGGAGAGGUGAGUGGAACUGCGAGUGUAGAGGUGAAAUUCGUAGAUAUUCGCAAGAACACCAGUGGCGAAGGCGGCUCACUGGCCCGAUACUGACGCUGAGGCACGAAAGCGUGGGGAGCAAACAGG
rnacentral:rRNA from 1 species